GGGGGGGGGGGGGGGGGGGCGGAGGGCAUGCGAGUCGAGGGGGGGGGUGGGGGGUAGGGGGGGACGGGGGCGUAAGGCGGGGGGACGUGGCGUUAGGGUGGGAAUCACUCCCCGGAGGGGGUGCUGAUGCCGGAUCAUGUCUUCGGACGAAGGAUUUAUCGCCUUUGGAUGGGCCCGCGUUGGUGUGGGUCGUUGGUAUGGUAAAAGCCUCCCAAGGGGACGAUCCAUAUCUGGGCUGAGAGAAUGAGCAGCCACACUGGGACUGGGCCACGGCCCAGACACCUACGGGAGGCAGCAGUUGUGAAUAUUGGACAAUGGGCGAAAGCCUGAUCCAGCAAUGCCGCGUGAGUGAUGAAGGCCUUAGGGUUGUAAAGCUCUUUUAACCGGGAUUAUAAUGACAGUACCGAGAGAAUAAGCUCCGGCUAACUCCGUG
rnacentral:rRNA from 1 species